CUGCGAGUGAAGAGGGAAAAGCUCAAAUUUAAAAUCUGGCAGCAUUUUGUUGUCCGAGUUGUAACCUAGAGAAGUGUAACCUGUGCUGGACCGUGUAUAAGUUUCCUGGAAUGGAGCAUCACAGAGGGUGAGAAUCCCGUCUUUGACAUGGACUACCAGUGCAUUGUGGUUGUGCUCUCAACGAGUCGAGUUGUUUGGGAAUGCAGCUCUAAAUGGGUGGUAAAUUCCAUCUAAAGCUAAAUAUUGGCGAGAGACCGAUAGCGAACAAGUACCGUGAGGGAAAGAUGAAAAGAACUUUGGAAAGAGAGUUAAACAGUAUGUGAAAUUGUUGAAAGGGAAACGUUUGAAGUCAGUCGCGUUAGCUGGGGAUCAGCCUGACAUUGUUGGGUGCACUUCCUGGUUGACGGGCCAACAUCAGUUUUGACUGCCAGAAAAAGGCCGAGGGAAUGUGGCACCUUUGGGUGUGUUAUAGCCUUUGGUCAUAUAUGGUGGUUGGGACUGAGGAAUGCAGUGUGCCGAAAGGCCGGGUUUCGACCACGUUCACACUGAGGAUGUUGGCAUAAUGGCUUUAAGCGACCCGUCUUGAAACACGGACCAAGGAGUCUAACAUGCAUGCGAGUGUUUGGGUGGAAAACCCUUACGCGUAAUGAAAGUGAAAGUUGAGAUCCCUGUCAUGGGGAGCAUCGACGCCCGGACCAGAACUUUUGGGACGGAUCUGCGGUAGAGCACGUAUGUUGGGACCCGAAAGAUGGUGAACUAUGCCUGAAUAGGGUGAAGCCAGAGGAAACUCUGGUGGAGGCUCGUAGCGAUUCUGACGUGCAAAUCGAUCGUCAAAUUUGGGUAUAGGGGCGAAAGACU
rnacentral:rRNA from 1 species